rnacentral:rRNA from 1 species
UGGGGAAUUUUGGACAAUGGGCGAAAGCCUGAUCCAGCCAUGCCGCGUGAGUGAAGAAGGCCUUCGGGUUGUAAAGCUCUUUUAGUCGGAAAGAAAGAGUUGCAAUGAAUAAUUGUGAUUUAUGACGGUACCGACAGAAAAAGCACCGGCUAACUACGUGCCAGCAGCCGCGGUAAUACGUAGGGUGCGAGCGAUAAUCGGAAUUACUGGGCGUAAAGGGUGCGCAGGCGGUCUUGCAAGUCAGAUGUGAAAGCCCCGGGCUUAACCUGGGAAUUGCGUUUGAAACUACAAGACUAGAGUGCAGCAGAGGGGAGUGGAAUUCCAUGUGUAGCAGUGAAAUGCGUAGAGAUGUGGAAGAACACCGAUGGCGAAGGCAGCUCCCUGGGUUGACACUGACGCUCAUGCACGAAAGCGUGGGGAGCAAACA